rnacentral:misc_RNA from 1 species
GACAGUUACAUGAAAUCUAUAGGUCCAAAAUCUGAGAUCUGAAUCAUACAAGAGAAUGCAGAUCAACCGACAAAUCAUUUACCAACGGAUCUCCAACCAGUAACUGACCACAAAAUGUAAACAAAACAAAGGAUACUUUCUUAUUUGACCCGACGGAACAGAAAGAAAAAGAUAUGACACACUCAAUAAGACUCCAGAAUAGGGAGGUAACAUGGCCCCAAGAUCUUCCUCGUAGUUGUCACUAGUAGAUUCAAAAGAUCUCCAGACUGAUGUAGCUAGAAAGGUGAAAAAAACGGCCUAACAUGCCUGUCUUUGCUAAGUUUCCCCCUCUUCACAUGAAAUCAUAAUCAUCAUAACCAUCAUAUGCAUUUACUACUGCAUCAUCAUCUGCCUUAUCAACAUGUAGCUGCUUCUUCUUUGCACCUGUCUUCUUUUUACUCGCAGUGGCUUCCUUUUCUGCUUUAAUCUUCUCAUUUGCAAAUGCAGUAAUAGAAGAACCAAUGUCUUUAGCAUCUUGCCCUUUCAACGAGGUCAUCGACAAUCUCAUAACAGCCUUGAGCAACCCAAUGUAGUGGUAGCUUUUCUCAAACGGUCGCAGCUUAUGAGAUAUCAGCUCAGCAUAUUCCAAGAAGUCACUCUCACUUUUUGGGAUAAAAUUUUCUAGGGUCUUGUCAUCACCACCUUUCUUGGCAAACAAUUCAGCCGUGGACUUAUAAUCAGCUUCUUCUACAAGCCUUUGCUGGCGAAGUUUUUCUGCUACUGGAUCUAGAGGCUCUUCAUUAGUAUGAACUUCCUUGCCUUUCUUUUCACCAGCCUUUGCAGCAGACUUCUUGGGGGCCUUCUCAGCAGGAGGUUCUGGUUUAGGUGCCGGAGCAGGCUCCUCUUCAUCUUCCCAAGAUUCUUUUACAUCAUCAUCAUCUGCAUCUUCAUCAUCCCAUUUACUUGUUGGCUGAUCCUUCUUAAGUAGAUCUGGAACUGGUAUAUCCUCCCAAUCCUCCAUCUCCAGUUAAUUC